rnacentral:misc_RNA from 1 species
GUGAAUCAUCAAAUCUUUGAACGCAAAUUGCACUCCCUGGUAUUCCGGGGAGUAUGCCUGUUUGAGGGUCGUUAGAAUAAAAAUCGAGGCGUCGCUCUUUUUUUUAAGGGUGAUCGCGUCGGAAUUGAGCCGUCUUUCACAUGUUAAUUCAUGUCAAAUUGGCUUGAAAUUCAUCCAUCCGGUACGAUUAAAGCGUCUUUAAGAUCAAUCUUGAUUAAGAACGCGCGGUGACGUACCAUCUAAUGUAGUACGUUUGACCUGGGUCAUCAGGUUCAUUCAUAUACGAUACUCAAACUUUUGA